UCGAGAAUCUUCGGCAAUGGGCGCAAGCCUGACCGAGCGACGCCGCGUGUGGGAUGAAGGCCUUCGGGUUGUAAACCACUGUCAGAGGGGAUGAAAUGCAGGUGGGUUCUCCCACUUGUUUGACAUAGCCUCAGAGGAAGGACGGGCUAAGUUCGUGCCAGCAGCCGCGGUAAGACGAACCGUCCAAACGUUAUUCGGAAUCACUGGGCUUAAAGGGUGCGUAGGCGGCGCGGUAAGUUGGGUGUGAAAUCCCUCGGCUCAACCGAGGAACUGCGCCCAAAACUACCGUGCUCGAGGGAGAUAGAGGUAAGCGGAACUUAGGGUGGAGCGGUGAAAUGCGUUGAUAUCCUAAGGAACACCGGUGGCGAAAGCGGCUUACUGGAUCUCUUCUGACGCUGAGGCACGAAAGCUAGGGUAGCGAACGG
rnacentral:rRNA from 1 species